CCCGCUCAGAAACUCAAGGAAUUGACGGGGCCCGCACAAGCGGUGGAGCAUGUGGUUUAAUCGAUGAUACGCGAGGAACCUUACCUGGGCUCAAAUGUAUGUUGACGUAUUCUGAAAGGGAUACUUCUUCGGACAAUAUACAAGGUGCUGCAUGGUUGUCGUCAGCUCGUGCCGUGAGGUGUCGGGUUAAGUCCCAUAACGAGCGCAACCCCUAUCAUCUGUUGCCAGCAUUUAAGGUGGGGACUCAGAUGAGACUGCCGGUGACAAACCGGAGGAAGGUGGGGACGACGUCAAGUCAUCAUGGCCCUUAUGUCCUGGGCUACACACGUGCUACAAUGGCCGGUACAGAGUGAAGCGAAACCGCGAGGUGAAGCAAAACGCAGAAAGCCGGUCUCAGUACGGAUUGGAGUCUGAAACUCGACUUCAUGAAGUUGGAAUCGCUAGUAAUCGCGCAUCAGCAUGGCGCGGUGAAUACGUUCCCGGGCCUU
rnacentral:rRNA from 1 species